rnacentral:lncRNA from 1 species
CCUACUUCUUGACCACCGGACAGACUAUGAGCCUUAUGAAGACCAGGCUCUUAUCUUCUUCACAGCUCUAACCCAAGCACAGCCCUGUCACAGAGUGGAUGCUCAGCACAUGUUUGAUGAAGUUUUCGUGUUCCACCUGGAUUCUGAAUCUUUUGCAUAUCCUCAGAUUCUCAAAAAUAAUCAGCUCAAAAUGAUCCCUGUGCCAAAGAGGCAUAUUCUGGGGUAGCAUAUUCUGCUACCCUUCUGAAGUGGAAAGGACUCACCCACCCACUGCCCUGUUACUGCCGUGGAAGAUAGAAGACAACCAGGAGCUGUUGAAUUCUGGCACCUUUAGAAGCUGGCAAAAGAGAUAAAACAGAUUCGCCCCUAGAACUUCCGGAAGGGCACUCAGCACUGCAGACACCUUGAUUUUAGCCCAGUGAGACCUGUAUUCUACUUCUAAUGUCUGGAACUCUAAUAUAACAAAUUCAUAUUGUUUUAAGCCACUGAGUUUGGGGUAAUUUGUUACAGCAGCAAUAGGAAACUAAUAUAGCACUAAAAGAAUCGUCAUUAGAUAUAAUUCCCAUUUGAAUUCUCACUUUCUUGCAGUUUAUUUUUCCGCUUGUGUGUUGCCCUGAGAAUGCUUAUCAAAGGCAAAAUCUAUUUUCUGCUUUGUGCUUUGCCAAAUACCCUAUCAACACUCAAUAAACUUUAAAAAAUG